rnacentral:rRNA from 1 species
ACUCAAAUGAAUAGACGGGGGCCCGCACAAGCGGUGGAGUAUGUGGUUUAAUUCGAAGCAACGCGCAGAACCUUACCUAGCCUUGACAUCCCGUGACAGCUGCAGAGAUGCAGUCUUCCCUUCGGGGACACGGAGACAGGUGCUGCAUGGCUGUCGUCAGCUCGUGUUGUGAAAUGUUCGGUUAAGUCCGGCAACGAGCGCAACCCCUGUCCUUAGUUACCAGCAUUAAGUUGGGGACUCUAGGGAGACUGCCGGUGUCAAACCGGAGGAAGGCGGGGAUGACGUCAAGUCCUCAUGGCCCUUACGGCUAGGGCUACACACGUACUACAAUGGCAGAAACAAACCGUCGCGAAGCCGUGAGGUGGAGCUAAUCGGAAAAACACUGUCUCAGUCCGGAUUGGAGUCUGCAACUCGACUCCAUGAAGUUGGAAUCGCUAGUAAUCGCAGAUCAGCACGCUGCGGUGAAUACGUUCCCGGGCCUUGCACACACCGCCCGU